rnacentral:rRNA from 1 species
UCAGAACGAACGCUGGCGGCGAUGGAUUAGGCAUGCAAGUCGAACGGUGCAGCAAUGCAUAGUGGCGCAAGGGUGAGGAACGCGUGAGUAACCUGCCCUCAAGUUGGGAACAGCUUCUGGAAACGGAAAUUAAUACCGAAUGUGACCAUAGGAAGGCGAUCUUCUGUUGGUUAAAGGCCGCAAGGUCGCUUGAGGAGGGGCUCGCGUCCCAUUAUGCUAGUUGGUGAGGUAACGGCCCACCAAGGCGAAGAUGGGUAGCUGGUCUGAGAGGACGAUCAGCCACACUGGGACUGAGAACUGCCCAGACUCCUACGGGAGGCUGCAGUCGAGAAUUUUGGGCAAUGGACGAAAGUCUGAACCCCCAGCAAUGCCGCGUGCGGGAUGAAGGUCUUCGGAUUGUAAACCGCUGUCAAGUGGGACGAAACAAAUGACGGUACCGCUGAAGGAAGUCACGGCUAACUACGUGCCAGCCGCCGC